AUUGAACGCUGGCGGCAGGCCUAACACAUGCAAGUCGAGCGAGCGGCGGACGGGUGAGUAAUGUAUGGGGACUGCCCGUUCGAGGGGGAUAACUACUGGAAACGGUAGCUAAUUCCGCAUACUAUCGGAUAACCCAUAUGGGAUUAGCUAGUCGUGGUGGUAAUGGCUCACCUAGGCGACGAUCCCUAGCUGGUCUGAGAGGAUGAUCAGCCACACUGGGACUGAGACGCGGCCCAGACGCCUACGGAGGCAGCAGAGGGGAAUAUGGGGCAAAGGGCGCAAGCCUGAUGCAGCCAAGCCGCGUGUAUGAAGAAGGCCCUAGGGUUGUAAAGUACUUUCAGUCGUGAGGCGUUACCGACAGAAGAAGCACCGGCUAACUACGUGCCAGCAGCCGCGGUAAUUC
rnacentral:rRNA from 1 species